ensembl:lncRNA xylose isomerase-like
GUAAAACAAAAUUACAUUUUGACAAACCUUUUAUUGUAUACAGAUGCCUUUGUGGAAAAUAAAUUAAGAUCCAAUUGCGCAAGAUUUGGUUAAACAUGCGAUGUUUACUGUAUGCAAGGGAACCGUGUCAAAAUGUAUUCCCAAAAAUAAACGUGGAGGGUGAAAGUAACUAGUGACUUUUACUUUGAGUACUAUUUAAUUGAGCUACUUUUUACUUGUACUUGAGUAUUUUAUGUGUUACUUACUUGCACUUGUACUUGUAAUUGAGUACGAUUUCAAUCAAUUUACAGUAUUUCAACUUAAUUUAGUCGGAUACAUAAGUACUCUUUACACCUCUGGCUACUGAAUACUUAAAAAAGACCAUUAAAGACCCAAAGAUUACACGCACAUUUACACUAUAAGGAUAACUUCGGUUGUAGAAUACAGUACUGCACUACUACACUGCUUUAGAAGCAUUAAAAAAAAAGCGAACAGACAUUUCUUACAGCUCUGUCUUUUAAAACGUAAUGUUUAGGAUCUGGCGCCACCCUGUGUUCAAGGAGGGAACUGCUUCUUUGUUCUACACAUUAGGAGCUACUAGCAGGAUUCUUCCAGCUCAGCAGAGCAGACAUGGCCGCACAGAAGGAAUUCUUUCCGGGCGUUUCCAAGAUCCAGUAUGUCCCCAAUGCUGGGCCCAGUGAGGUCAUGUGCUUCAAACAUUACAAUGCACAGGAGGUGCUGAUGGGAAGAACCAUGGAGGACUGGCUCAGGUUCUCAGUCUGCUACUGGCACUCCUUCUGUGGAACUGGUGCUGAUCCUUUUGGGUUCCCGACCCUCCUCCGGCUCUGGAAUGAAGGGACUCCAAUGGAGUCAGCUAAGAAGAGACUCAGUGCGGCCUUUGAGUUUUUCACCAAGCUUGGUGUGAAGUAUUACACGUUUCAUGACCGAGACAUGUCCCCUGAAGGCCUCACGAUGGAGGAGUCCAACAGGAAUCUGGAGGAGAUCUCAGACUUAGCUCUGGAGUUACAGAGACAGACUGCAGUCAAAGUGCUGUGGGUCACCUGCAACCUGUUCGCCCAUCAGAGGUACAUGAACGGUGCAGCCACAAACCCAGACUGCCACGUGCUGGCUUAUGCUGGUGCUCAGGUAAAGAAAGGUCUGGAUAUUGCCAAGAAACUGGGAGCUGAAAACUUUGUGUUUUGGGGAGGCAGGGAAGGCUUUCUUUCCAUCCAUAACACAGAUGUGGCUGCUGAGCUGCAGCACAUGGCCAACUUCUUCAGAAUGGCUGUUAAGUACAAGGAGAAGAUUGGGUUGAAUUGUCAGUUCCUGAUUGAGCCAAAGCCAAAGGAGCCCUGCAAACAUCAGUACGACUACGACGCCAUGAGUGUCAUCGGCUUCCUGAAACAUUACGGUUUGGAGAAUCACUUCAAGCUGAACAUCGAGCCCAACCACACCACCCUAGCAGGACACUCCUAUGAACAUGAUGUUGUCAUGGCCUCCGUUUUCGGCAUGCUGGGCUCAGUGGAUUCCAACACUGGCUCUCCUGACCUGGGCUGGGACACAGACCAGUUCCCCAUGGACAUCCGGAACACCACCUUAGUCAUGAAAACCAUUGUUGAACAAGGAGGUCUGCAGCCUGGAGGCCUGAACUUUGAUGCUAAGGUACGUAGAGAAUCCACUGACUUGGAGGAUCUGUUCAUCUCUCACAUCGCAGCUAUGGACGCCUUCGCUAGAGGGCUCAGGAAUGCUGUUCGUCUGAUAGAGGAUGGACUCAUCACUGCUAUGGUAAAGGAGCGUUAUUCUAGCUUCAGUCAUGGCCUUGGACUGAAGGUGGAAAAGGGCUCUGCCACCUUAGAGGACAUGGAGGCUUUCAUUAAAGAGAAUGGAGAGCCCAAAGUAACAUCAGGGAAACAAGAAAAAUAUGAGUCCAUCUUUAACCACUACAUCUAAAGUAAAAGUCCCAAUGAGAUCUUUAUGUUCUUCAUUGCUGAUGAGGAAAUGCAGGAGCAGUGCUGUACUGAUGUAUGUAUGUGUAUGUUAUUAAUGAGUACAUGUAAUGAAAGUCUGUUAACCAUCCAACUAUGUCUUUCUCUCUGUAAUAAAUCUGUAGCAUUGUUUGUUAUAAUAAACGUG